GGCGGGGCGGGGCGGCUGCCGGCACCGACGUGAGCUCGAGGCGGGCGGUGUGUCGGCGCUGAGGGACGGCGGGAGCUGCUGGGAGCCGGGCCCUGUGGAGUCGGAGACGAUGCUGCUGUUCUGCCCCGGCUGCGGGAACGGGCUGAUCGUGGAGGAGGGACAGCGCUGCCACCGCUUCGCCUGCAAUACGUGCCCCUACGUGCACAACAUCACCCGCAAGGUAACGAAUCGGAAGUACCCGAAACUGAAAGAAGUGGAUGAUGUGCUUGGUGGAGCAGCUGCCUGGGAGAAUGUUGACUCUACUGCAGAGCCCUGUCCCAAAUGCGAACAUCCUCGGGCCUACUUCAUGCAGCUUCAGACCCGCUCUGCGGACGAGCCCAUGACCACCUUCUACAAGUGCUGCAAUGCCCAGUGUGGACACCGCUGGAGGGAUUAGGGCUCGGACGGCCCAGCCGCCUCCGUGUGUGCCUACCUUGUCCGUCGGGGAGCUGCUCAGCUGCGAACAGGGUCUCACUCUGUUGCCCAGGCUGAAGUCUCAAACUCCUGGGUUCUACUGAUCCACCUGCCUCAGCCUCCCAAGUAGUUGGGACUACAGGUUUUGGCACAGAACUGUAUAUACAAUGAUAGUGAAAUUGAUCCCACUGGUUCUGACGGAAAUGAUGACACAUCUAAAUGAGUUGGAUGUUUUAGAGGUAUCAUCUCAUGAAUCCUUGACAGAAACUGAAUGAGGAAUGAAAUUUAUUGUUUCCAUUUCGCACAGAAGGAAACCGAGGUGGUGAAGCCCUCCGUUGUCCUGACCCCACAGUUCCUGUCCCAUGAUCAGGGCCAGCUCACCAAGGAGCUGUAGCAGCAGCACGUAAAGUCAGUGCCAUCCCCCAUGCGAGGACCCGAGGAAGGGCAUGAAUCUCUCAGGGGCCAGAAGCAGCAGAUGAGCCUCACCCAGCCUGUGUACAGAAAGGCAGUUGUGUACCUGCUGGAUGACCCCCUGGUGGCUUUGGAUGCCCACAUUGGCCAGCAUGUCUUCAACCAGGUCAUCGGGCCUGGCGGGCUACUCCUGGCGGGGAACAGUAAGUUUGGGAAUAUGUUUCAGAGGUCACAGGGCAAAGGUAGAGCAUGCCCUUAGCAUCCAGUCCUAACCCAAGAUUCUCUCACCGCCCCCUUCCACUUGAGUCCAAUUUUUCUCUUUGUAUUGGUCAGCUUUUGCUGUGAUGAUGCUACGUAACAAACAACCCCUCAGAUUCCAUCAGCUUACAACAGCUGCUGUUUCUUGCUUAUGUGUCUGUGGUUUAACUACUACAGCUCUGCCUUGGAUGAUUGGCCUGGGUCAGAUGGACUCAUCUUCUUGAGAUAGGCUGAAGGAGUCCCCUCUGUUUCUCUAUUUGAAAAUGCUAUUUUCAAGAAAGAUGGCAGGAGCACAAGAAGGGGAGCUCUCCCAACUCUGAGUCCAGGGACAAUACUCCCACUCCUACCCCCUGCUCCAGGAGGCUGGCCAAGCACAGGUGUAUAACUUUUCUUUCUUUCCCCUUCUCUUCAUUCCUCUUUCCCUUCCCAUCCCUCCCUCUUCCUCUCUCUCCCUCUCUCCUCCCUUCCUCCUUCCCUUUCUUCCUUCCUUUUUUUUUUUUUUUUAUUUUGAGACAAAGUUUCACUCUUAUUACCCAGGCUGGAGUGCAGUGGUGCAAUCUCGGCUCACCGCAACCUCCACCUCCUGGGUUCAGGCAAUUCUCCUGCCUCAGCCUCCCGAGUAGCUGGGAUUUCAGACACACGCCACCAUGCCCAGCUAAUUUUUUUUUGUAUUUUUAGUGGAGACGGGGUUUCAUCAUGUUGACCAGGAUGGUCUCAAUCUCUUGACUUCGUGAUCCACCUGCCUCAGCCUCCCAAAGUGCUGGGAUUACAGGCGUGAGCCACCGCGCCCGACCCUUUCUUUUUGAUGGAGUCUUGCUCCAUCACCUAGGAUGGAAUGCAGCAGUGCAAUUUCAGCUCACUGCAACCUCUGCCUCACAGUUUCAAGUGAUUCUUAUGCCUCCAUUUCCCAAGUAGCUGUGACUACAGGUGUAUGCCACCAUACCAAGCUCAUUUUAGUAUUUUUAGUAGAGACAGGGCUUAGCCAUGGUGACCUGACUGGUCUUGAACUCCUGGCCUCAAGUGAUCCACCUGCCUUGGCGUCCCAAAGUGCUGGGAUUACAGGCAUGAGCCAUGGAACGUGGCCACACGUGCGUUAACUUCUAACCCUUCCCUGCCCAGACACAGACUCUUGUGACCCACGCACUCCACGUCCUGCCCCAGGCUUAUUGGAUCGUGGUGCUGGCAGAUGGGGCCAUUGUAGAGAUGGGUUCCAACCAGGAACUUCUGCACAAGAAGUGGGCCCUCAUGAGUCUUCUGGAUCAAGCCAGACAGCUAGGAGAUAGAGGAGAAGGAGGUACCAGGUGGGCUUUGCUGAUUCUCUGUGCCUGGCUCUUGCCACUCUUGGGCAGAAAGGCUCAAAGGGUCCUGCUGGCAAGAGUGGGUUGCUCUGGUCAUACCUCCCCUGUAGGCUUAUGCCCAGAAGCAGACGGCUCUCCAGUAGGUCACCUCUCUCCAAGAAGGGCCAAUAACACCAUCUAUGAGCCGGGGCUGAGCUAAGUGCUUCUGUAAGAAAUACACUAUUUCAUUUGGUUCUCACCGUCCCCUCAGAGGCAUGUGAAGUUACUGCUGUCAUUUUAUAGAUGAGCAAAGAGAGUUAAAUCAGUUGCCCAAGGUCACCAGCUUAGAACUUGAGUGUGUCCAACUCCAGAGUCUAUGCUUGCAGUUGCUGUGGAGACAGCACAAGGAGGUUUUGGUGCCUGGAAAGCUAUAACAUGCCAGCUAGAGUUUCUAAUAAUCUGAAGAACACAAAGCGCGCUGGAUACCUGACAAGGUUCUGGAAGUAAAGUUGCCAAGCCAAGCUCACCCACAAUGACUGAAAAGUAGCAACUCAUAGCACAUCACAUGCAUUAGCUCACUGAAUCAACUUAAUGCCGCCAUGAGACUGGUACUUGAAUCAUUUCCAUUUCACAGAUGAGGAAACUGAGGCCCAAAAGUUAAGGAACUAGUACCAGGUUACGUGGCUUAUAAGUGGCAGCACUGGGAUUUGUACGCAAGCAACUUGAUUCCAGAGAAUGUGUUUUUUAAUCAUUAGGCUUUUUACUACCCCUGCAUGACAAAGCAGGGACCCACACCCGGGUCUCCCUCAAUCUCAGACUUUGUCUCUUCUGAGAACAUCUGCUUAGCAUUGGCACACCCUGGCUAAAAACACUAAGUGUUGAUUCACAAUGUCCCAGUCCUGAAGCUUGAAGCUAAUACUUGCCUGUUAGUAUUGGUCAGCUUUUGCUGCAAUGGUGCUGUGUAACAAAUAGCCCCCCAACUCUCAGCAGGUUACAGUGGCAGUUAUUUCUUGCUUACAGGUCUGUGGUUAAACUAUACAGCUCUGCCUUCAGUUAUUGGCCACAUCUGGGGGAUAGUGGUGGGGAGGUGUCCUUCCUGGGAGAGAUGGUACCUGAAGGUUGGUGGGAGUUAACCAGAGAAGAGCAUUCCAGACACAAGGAACUGCUUGAGCAAGGCUGUCGGGAGAAACAGAGAUAACGUUAUACAGUGUUCACUGAUGCUUUUCCAACCUCAGGUUCACAGCAGGUGCCCAAUUAUAUUCACUGAUUGAAAAAAUGAAUGAGUGAGUGAAUGCCUGAAUGAUGUUCCCGGAAGAACUCAGAGUGGGGUGUUGAGGUUGCUGGAGAGGUGGCAGGAGCCAGGACAGGGAAAAUGGAUGGUCAGAGCAGUUAAGGCCACAUGGUCAGUGGGUGUGAUAGUGAGUAUCUGGGCCAUGUGUGUGACAGGACUCUCUUGACCUUUUAUCAGAUUGUGAAAACAAUCUGAUAAAAAGAGAUGACAAGGUAAAAAUUGAAGGGGAUGCACAGAAAGAAAUCAGCAUGAGGCAGUUUAGUUGGGCAGGCCUAAGCCUUAGAUUUUGGAUAUGGACUGAUUCAAAAGAAAUAUGCAACUACCCUUUGACCCCAAAUUCCUCAAACAUAUUGUUGAGAGUAAUUGAUUUUCACUCAUUUCUCUUUAAUAUGGCUCCUAGUCCUUGUACUUUACUAUAAAUGUCUUUCCUGAGCCCAUCAGUGACUUCUUUCUUACCAAAUUUAGAGACCUUUUUUUCAGUCUGCCUAUUGCCCAAUCAUUUAAUUAUAUUUUAGAAGGGUUAUCUUAUAUUUCUCUCAUUUUACUUUUAGUGUUAUAAAUAUCCCAAAGGUAAUAUGUGUUAUUUGCAGUGAAAUAGAACAUACAGAUUUGAUGAUUUGUGAUAACCCAGGCUAACAUGUUAGUCGAAUUUUUCCUGGCUUUUAAGUACAUUUUUAUAUGUUUAUGUAUUCUGAAUAAAGUCAACUGAGGACAGAGACAGGAAUCAUUAUUACAUUAAUACUCAGAUGUCACUGGCUUUUGCUCCACAUGCUUGCAGAGGACAUUAGCCACUUCUGCAACGUUCCUCAAGUAUUUCUGGGGAUCCCUGGAGCUGUAUCUUGUUACUUAUAAACAAGUCUUAUUUUAAAGGUGCUGUUACUGCUCUGUCAAAUAUCUGCCUCCAUCGUGGGCACUAAGGUUCAUUUCACCAGAUUUAAACUUUGUUUCCUUCUAUCACAUUUCCAUUCUAAGAUGUACAUUUUUUUCACAUUUUAAUAUAUCUGCAGUCAGAAGGCAUCUUAUAGUCAGGUAAGCAGCAAAAGUAAUAUGAUCAUCAUUGCUUGAACAUUUACAUCAAAACUUGUAGAACAGGUGCUGCUAGAGGCAUGGAAGAAAAUUCUGGAGACAAUAGUGGUGCACUCUUAAUAAAGGCUGGACAACAGUUGGUGACACAGGAAACAGUACUGUGUGAAGAAGGGUGGACAUGGAUGACUCUUAGACAAAAAAUGACUCCGGUAAGUCAAAGUGAGUUCAAGGAGGUUGAGGAGUAAUUUAGCCAAUUCCCUUUUCCCUUGUUUGAUUGAGGAAUAAUUUACGUGCAAUAAAUUGGUCUGGUAGUGCGGGAAAGCUCCAUCAGACUGGGUGAUCUAGCUGCUCAUUUUAUGGAGAGUUCUGACAAAGGUGUGGACACCAGCACCUUCUACCAGCCAGCCCCUGAGUGAAGGGUUUUUCCAUAGAAACCCUCCAGGUUUUUCCUGGAGGAAGGCUUGGGUAACCUUUUGGGCAGGUCUUCCCAACUUGAGGUUCUAUGCUAAUGGAAUACUAUUUUUCUGAAUAUUUAUCUGUCCUUCUAGUGAGAAUAGUUCGUGCACAGUCUACAAAGUGGUCUUCAAAAUUGAGUACACAUCAACAUCCCCUAGAGGGCUUUUUAAAGGAUGAGAAGCCGUCUUCUCCAAUGAAAAGAACACAGACACAUUAAUCAGCCUCUCCACCCUGAGCCACACAAGGUCUUUUUGCGUUCAGGGCUCUGUCUCUAAUAGGAGCACAUGGACUAAGUAAGGAAAGGCACCAUCAUGACUCCAAGCGGAGGAGAUCCGAUGAAUGUAGGCCUCAAAAUUAACACCCGCCGGAUUUACGCCAAAUGUCUGAUCACCAUCCCACUAUGGGCUACCAUGGCCAGGGACCCUCAGACCAUUACCCCUCUUUCUACACAGAUGAACUGGGGGAGUAUAAGCAGCGCCUACCCACACUGCACCCCGCAGUCUCAGAUCCUCGAUCGCCCCCUUCUCACGACUCCAAGUCACCCCAGGGUCAUAGGUCUCCUUCGGAGAGAUCACUAGAACAGAAAAACAACCCAGAUUAUAAUAGGAAUGUUCGGAAAACACAAAGGACGGCUCGCAAAAGAGAGAGCAAGUCAUCAAACACAUGGAUGUUUUUGGUCUGAUCCAACAGUAGCCAGUUAUCUAGACCAGUAAGCGGAGUUUCGGACAUGCUGCUGCUGUCAGCAAGGAACGGGAGGCCUUUCACUGGGUCCAGCUCGGAUUCAGGUCAGCACUCCCGCACUUUGGCACCCGUCCCGUUCCAGCCUAGUUCUGGCCUCCCACUUUGAUGGGCACUUGGAGGAAGAGCUGACUGUGUAUACCAGCUUCACUGGGAUGCGUUUCCCCAGUCAAGGAAUAGGGGAUCUUCAGAGUCAUGAAUGUUUUCUCACCAGGGUCAGUGUUCCUAGGACCUUAGUGCAUAGGCGGGCAGGAGCUGGUGCAGGGAGGCAGCUGGGGCCUGAUGGGACAGUGUGAUUUGCCUGAUUUGUUUCAUUCUGACAUGAUGGAUGCUGCUGACAGGGAGUGGGGAGUGCAGGCAGAUGGGUGGGGGCAAGCAUAGGACUUGAAGGGGAGCAGGUAUACCCCUCAAAUGCGUUUUUGGGAGAAAUGCAUUUGUGAAAUGCAUUUCUCAUUAUGUGAAACCUGUGGGCGGGGUUGGGGUGGGGAGGUAGCGAGAGGGCAGCGGCUUCCACAGCGGCUUCAUCUCUGCCAACACUAAUUUUCCCACACCGUCUUUGUACAUUCCGGAAGUUUGGUCUCCUGAGUGGGCCUCCUUUCCCUGCUAUGGCGGGGAAAGUAGGUUGCUCUAACUGACUUUUGAGUACUGCGAGUUCGACAAUGUUGAUGCCAGCGUGGGUAUUACUUGACUGGGGAGUAGGCCAGGUGAGGGGUAGGGUGAGCCAACGUGGGGAAUAGUGCGGCCAGGGAUCUGGAAUCUCUGGUGGAUUUCUGAUUCCUGUGGUGAGAAGGAAAACUGCAGGAGCUGGAGAGGAGGUCACAGAGGCAGGCCUACUGACCGCUUGUUGCUGGCAAUCACAAAGCUGGGGGUCCUGGUGCAGGCAGUGAACAGCUUCUACUGUGGGGUUCAGUAGUGCCAGCCAAGUAGGGGAGACUUUCAGUAUUGGGCUAGGUCGGCACCUCGGCUGCAUUUCCUCUCCCUUUGCACAGCUUGAGGAAAUGUACUGGACAGACUCACACGUCAUGUAGUGGGCAGAUGUGGUGGACAAGUUUCUCCUGCUAGUUGGAGAUCAUUAGAAUUGAAUUCAGUAUCUCUUAGAAUGUGAUCAGGUAUAAACCUCAGUUAAACUUCCUGAAACAGGGGGCAUCCAAAGACAGUGACUGAGCUAGAGAUAGCAAGAAUCAUACUAGAGUUGAAUUGAGUCAGGUUUAGGAAGCAAGUUGAUUGCAUCAGUUAAGCAGGCUCUUUUCAAUGUACUGACACUGGGGCCUGCAGUUUUAUUCAGUAGAGCUUGCCAGUGUUGGAGUAUCCAGAGGCCUUUCUAGGUGGAGACAGGAUAACUGACUUGAACAUUCAGUGUGCCUGUAAAUGUCCAGGCUCAGAGCUGUGAAAACCCUUCUGCUGGGCAUGUGCGGGGUUAAACCCCCGAAGUCUCUUGUGAGGAUUUCAGUGCAUGCUGGGCUCCUGGGCAGCACCAUGAAUGCCUUUACAAAGACAUGCCGACUUGUAUCCCCGAAUGAAGAAGAUGUGGCUGUGACGUGGCCCUUGCUCCCUACCACACAGAGCAUCACAGGGCUGGUUCGUGCUGUUUCCAGAGGAGGGUCUAGGUCUUGGAUGCUUGUGUUGAGAGCUCAGUGGACCCACCCCCUUAGUGAACUCCUCACACUUCUUGGGGUUGCUCAGCCUAGACUUGUACCACACCUGCCUUGAAGCAAAGCCCUGGCGACUGCAUGAGCCACCUGGCCACAGUCCUCCCCUGGAGGCCUCUGUGACUGCUCAGUGGAGAGGGCAGGGCAUGUGUCCCCACUCAGGCGACACAGUGAAAAGGAAACCACAGAUAGAGCCUCCUGCUUAUAAUACUGACUCUGGCCUGUGUUUGCCUUGCCUAAGCCAAAGAGGAAGGUGAGGUUGGCUUGCCAAGCCCUUGAGCGAUGGGAGCGGGGGUGGGAAGGAGAUGACUCCCUGCAGAGUUGGGUUGUGCCCUCCGGGAACAAAAGGAGAGGCAAAGGCAUCAUCAGAGGCCCUGUGUUUCCAUCAGGUUUCCAUGCUUGUCAGGGCUUCUCUCUUAAGUCACUGAUAGGAGAUGUGAGUUAUGCCCAGAGAUUUCUCAUCCUGAGGAAGGAAGACCUUCCUUUCAUUCACUUUCGGGACUCUUAGUGCCAUAUGAAGUAGCAAAAGGCAGUCUUGGCCAGAUCAGUGUUACAUUGGUUCUAAAAUUACAGUGUCCCCAUUAGACGUCUAUUUUAGGUGCUAAAGUGUGUUUGAAGAGUGCAUUGGGAGAAAGGAAGCAUUUCUUCAUUGAUUUAAUUAGUAUGAAUACUAUAUGCUUAAAUGAAAAACAUGUUUUGCGCAGGUAAAUUCUCUCCCUUGUGUAUGGGAGAAGCUGCCCCAGGAGUCUGUGAGUGAGGGUGGUGUUCCUUGGAACUUGGCUCUGAAAGAUUUCAUUGAUAGAAAUACCAGGGGGAGCUAGCAUUCCCUAAAACUUACACGUGAAUGGGGGUUGACGUGAUACACUGUGGCCUAGAGAAGGCCCAGGUGAAAAUCGCUGCAGUCUUUCAGAGCCAGGCAGACAGGUGCCCAGCAGAGCCCGGGGCUCGCUCCCCAUUCAGUCAUUCCUUAGCCCUUCGAAGGGAGACCCAGAGACUUUGCACGCUGUGCUGCAGACAUUCUGGCCUGGUGUGUCUGAAGGUUGCCUCAGUCCUCAUAGUGCAAACGCUGUUUAUCUAGGAAGUCACAAUGACACUGAAAUCCUCCAGACCAAAAUCCACUUGUCAGCAGGAGCAGCAGCCCAGCACCAGCGUCUUCAGGCUCCUCUGAGGGCUGCCUGCAUUGGGCGAGGGAAGCCAUGCCAAUGGUCCAGGCUGCCUUAGGCCAUCUUGGCCCCACUUGUCAGGGGACAGAUGGUUUUUCUUUAUUGUAAAAUAGUAGACUUUUAAAACCUGUUGACUAAACAGUAAUUAAUCUAUAUUUGUGAAAAAUGCCACUGUCCUAGUGAUUUCUGAUGUAAAUAAUGUUUAUAUAGUAUGUAUUAAAUUUUCCUACAUUGUAAAA